UACGUAGGGUGCGAGCGUUGUCCGGAAUUACUGGGCGUAAAGCGUGCGUAGGUGGUUCGUUAAGUCUGAUGUGAAAGCCCUGGGCUCAACCUGGGAAUGGCAUUGGAAACUGGCGAUCUAGAGUGCGGUAGAGGGUAGUGGAAUUCCCGGUGUAGCAGUGAAAUGCGUAGAGAUCGGGAGGAACAUCUGUGGCGAAGGCGACUGCCUGGACCAGCACUGACACUAAGGCACGAAAGCGUGGGGAGCAAACAGG
rnacentral:rRNA from 1 species